rnacentral:rRNA from 1 species
UACGAAGGUCCCAAGCGUUGUUCGGAAUCACUGGGCGUAAAGGGUGCGUAGGCGGUUUGGUAAGUCAGAUGUGAAAUCCCGGGGCUCAACCCCGGAACUGCAUCCGAUACUGCCAGACUUGAGGACUGGAGAGGUGACUGGAAUUCUCGGUGUAGCAGUGAAAUGCGUGGAUAUCGAGAGGAACACUCGUGGCGUAAGCGAGUCACUGGACAGUAUCUGACGCUGAGGCACGAAGGCCAGGGUAGCGAAAGGG